GUGGGUUCUGGUCGUCUCAGGUUAGCAACUUGUACUGUGAAACUGCGAAUGGCUCAUUAAAUCAGUUAUCGUUUAUUUGAUAGUACCUUACUACAUGGAUACCUGUGGUAAUUCUAGAGCUAAUACAUGCUAAAAACCCCGACUUCAGGAAGGGGUGUAUUUAUUAGAUAAAAAACCAACGCCCUUCGGGGCUCCUUGGUGAAUCAUAAUAACUUAACGAAUCGCAUGGCCUUGCGCCGGCGAUGGUUCAUUCAAAUUUCUGCCCUAUCAACUUUCGAUGGUAGGAUAGUGGCCUACCAUGGUGGCAACGGGUAACGGGGAAUUAGGGUUCGAUUCCGGAGAGGGAGCCUGAGAAACGGCUACCACAUCCAAGGAAGGCAGCAGGCGCGCAAAUUACCCAAUCCCGAUACGGGGAGGUAGUGACAAUAAAUACUGAUACGGGGCUCUUUUGGGUCUCGUAAUUGGAAUGAGAACAAUUUAAAUCCCUUAACGAGGAACAAUUGGAGGGCAAGUCUGGUGCCAGCAGCCGCGGUAAUUCCAGCUCCAAUAGCGUAUAUUAAAGUUGUUGCAGUUAAAAAGCUCGUAGUUGAACCUUGGGUCUGGCUGGUCGGUCCGCCUCACCGCGAGUACUGAUCCGGCUGGACCUUUCCUUCUGGGGAACCUCAUGGCCUUCACUGGCUGUGGGGGGAACCAGGACUUUUACUGUGAAAAAAUUAGAGUGUUCAAAGCAGGCCUUUGCUCGAAUACAUUAGCAUGGAAUAAUAGAAUAGGACGUGCGGUUCUAUUUUGUUGGUUUCUAGGACCGCCGUAAUGAUUAAUAGGGAUAGUCGGGGGCGUCAGUAUUCAGCUGUCAGAGUGAAACUUCUUGGAUUUGCUGAAGACUAACUACUGCGAAAGCAUUCGCCAAGGAUGUUUUCAUUAAUCACGCAACGAAAGUUACGGAUCGGAGACGAUCAAAUACCGGUCGUAGUGCUUAACUCAUAAAC
rnacentral:rRNA from 1 species